rnacentral:rRNA from 1 species
CCGGGCGACCGGCGCACGGGUGAGUAACACGUAUGGAACCUGCCCGCAGCAGGGGGAUAAGCGGAAGAAAUUCCGUCUAAUACCGCGUAACAACGUUGGGAGGCAUCUCCCGAUGUUUAAAGAUUUAUCGGCUGCGGAUGGCCAUGCGGCGCAUUAGCUAGUCGGCGGGGUAACGGCCCACCGAGGCGACGAUGCGUAGGGGUUCUGAGAGGAAGGUCCCCCACACUGGUACUGAGACACGGACCAGACUCCUACGGGAGGCAGCAG